rnacentral:rRNA from 1 species
GACGAACGCUGGCGGCGUGCUUAACACAUGCCAGUCGAACGGAAAGGCCCUGCUUGCAGGGUACUCGAGUGGCGAACGGGUGAGUAACACGUGGGUGAUCUGCCCUGCACUUCGGGAUAAGCCUGGGAAACUGGGUCUAAUACCGGAUAGGAGCCAUUUUUAGUGUGAUGGUUGGAAAGUUUUUUCGGUGUAGGAUGAGCUCGCGGCCUAUCAGCUUGUUGGUGGGGUAAUGGCCUACCAAGGCGGCGACGGGUAGCCGGCCUGAGAGGGUGGACGGCCACAUUGGAACUGAGAUACGGCCCAGACUCCUACGGGAGGCAGCAGUGGGGAAUAUUGCACAAUGGGCGCAAGCCUGAUGCAGCGACGCCGCGUGGGGGAUGACGGCCUUCGGGUUGUAAACUCCUUUCGCUAGGGACGAAGCUUUUUGUGACGGUACCUAGAGAAGAAGCACCGGCUAACUACGUG